rnacentral:rRNA from 1 species
AGAAGGAUGGGACCCCCGCGCUCAGAUUGAACGCUGGCGGCAGGCCUAACACAUGCAAGUCGAGCGGUAGAGAGGUGCUUGCACCUCUUGAGAGCGGCGGACGGGUGAGUAAUGCCUAGGAAUCUGCCUGGUAGUGGGGGAUAACGCUCGGAAACGGACGCUAAUACCGCAUACGUCCUACGGGAGAAAGCAGGGGACCUUCGGGCCUUGCGCUAUCAGAUGAGCCUAGGUCGGAUUAGCUAGUUGGUGGGGUAAUGGCUCACCAAGGCGACGAUCCGUAACUGGUCUGAGAGGAUGAUCAGUCACACUGGAACUGAGACACGGUCCAGACUCCUACGGGAGGCAGCAGUGGGGAAUAUUGGACAAUGGGCGAAAGCCUGAUCCAGCCAUGCCGCGUGUGUGAAGAAGGUCUUCGGAUUGUAAAGCACUUUAAGUUGGGAGGAAGGGCAUUAACCUAAUACGUUAGUGUUUUGACGUUACCGACAGAAUAAGCACCGGCUAACUCUGUGCCAGCAGCCGCGGUAAUACAGAGGGUGCAAGCGUUAAUCGGAAUUACUGGGCGUAAAGCGCGCGUAGGUGGUUCGUUAAGUUGGAUGUGAAAGCCCCGGGCUCAACCUGGGAACUGCAUUCAAAACUGUCGAGCUAGAGUAUGGUAGAGGGUGGUGGAAUUUCCUGUGUAGCGGUGAAAUGCGUAGAUAUAGGAAGGAACACCAGUGGCGAAGGCGACCACCUGGACUGAUACUGACACUGAGGUGCGAAAGCGUGGGGAGCAAACAGGAUUAGAUACCCUGGUAGUCCACGCCGUAAACGAUGUCUUUCUAGCCGUUGGGAGCCUUGAGCUCUUAGUGGCGCAGCUAACGCAUAAGUGACCGCCUGGGAGUACGGGA